GGGGGUGCACUGGCUUCGACGGGGGUCGCGAAAUCACCUGGUGCAUGCCGAGGGGGUAGCUUUCCUCGUAAAUCCAGCUGCAAAACUCUAGUUGCCAACGACGACAACUACGCUCUCGCCGCUUAAGGCGUAAGCCCCGAACCCACUUGUGUCCGUGCUCGUGGAUGUAGGGUCAUCAUCACGGAACCGGCUGUGACGGCUGCCUGUCAGUCACGGUUCAACCAAAACAGGCUGGUGUCCCGAUGCGCUUUGCGCGCCGUGCUGUCGGGAGACGAGACCUAACGGAGCGCUAAGCAUGUAGUACCGGGGAUGGAGUGCCUUCGGACGCGGGUUCGAUUCCCGCCACCUCCACCA
rnacentral:tmRNA from 1 species